GCAAGUCGAAUGAAUUUAGAUUCAUGGCUGACGUGGGAGGAAUACGUAGGUACGUACCCAAGAGGCAGGGAUAACCCGAUGAAAAUCGGAAUAAUACUUGAUAGUCCCUUCGGGGUAAAGAUUUAUCGCUCUUGGAACGGCCUGCGGUCUAUCAGCUUGUUGGUAAGGUAACGGCUUACCAAGGCUACGACGGAUAGGGGAGGUGAGAGCCUGACC
rnacentral:rRNA from 1 species